UUACUAAUAAGUAUAACUACCAAUUGGAGGCAUUUCAGUGUAAUUGAUCUGAACACUUUGAAAUGGUCUCAGUGCUGGAUUUCUUCCACCAAGGCGCAAUUUCCUUAGAUCCUGCUUAUUAGCUUUUUUUACAUGUUAAGCAACUAUCUAUAACUUGUUUGGCCAGGGUGUAAAUUCUUAUACACCCAUAAACCCGGAGAACUGCAUUGCACAUUGCUUGGGGUCCCCAAUGGGUCCCUUGAUGUAAUUGAGACAAGACUUCCCUCAUGAGAGGUUUUGACAACAUUUCCCUUUGAUCUGAUAAUAUCCAUUUCCUAUCCGCAUUUUCUUUAGCUCCUAUUUUUAUCAACGUCUUUUGUUCAAUGGAAGAGAAAACGGGUUACAGUAGGAGGAGGGCAUGGAGUUAAAUGGAAGAAAUGGCAACUUGUUUUGCUAUUUUAUUGUAACCGACUGAGUUAUAGAGAGAAUGCCACAGUCUGAGACUAAUUCAGUGAUCCUUUAUUGCCAGCAACCGAGAGACGGCUAGAGCUCAAAAUUCUCUCAGCCCCGAAGAAGGGGCUACACAUCUUUUUACACCUUGGUCUAAAGAGGGGAGGAGGAGUGUAGCUGAAGCAAUUUUUUACAGAAGCAGAACAGGCAAAAAAGUUGAAAGAUAAAUGGUUACAGAAACAGUAAUAAGAAAAUAAACAGUUCCAGGUGCAGGGGCUUAAAUUAUCACAAAGUGAUAAACGCAAAGGCUUUGGGCACCGUCAACCGAGUGCGUUCCCAGGAGCUGCUGGUACAGCUUGCCUCAGUAUCUUAUCAGUAAGCGCAUUCUUGGAUGUGCUUGGAGUCAGCUUGCACCAGUUAUGUCCUUAAGGGAGGGGGACAAGGGGCUGCAAGUGAAGAAACCAAAAUGGAGUCUGUCCAGCUCUCUCAGCUAAGAGAGAGUCAAUCAGGUUAAAAGAAGUUAGGGUAUCACAUUUCCCACUCGUGUUUGGGGGAAUCAGAUCAUUGAUUCCUCGGUUAUAACAAGGGUGUUAUAUUGGGUUCUAAGAUACAUAAGAUUGACAGAAGCUAUGCGUUGCUUUACAAAAUUAAGAAACCAAUUUAAUAUACAAGGCCUGAAGACUAACCCUAACAAGAGGAGGAGAAGGGGGUCCCGCCAACCCAGUAAUUAGAGUAGUUAGCCAGGGAUUCCAGUUAAACAUGCUUUGGUACUUUGGUACUCCAGGAAUGAGAAAGGUGGUGUUACUUUCUUGUUCCUUCUGGCAUCUAUCUAGAUUUUCUCGAACUCUUUGAAGAGUAUUUUUUAUGACUCCAGACUGAUUGGCAUAGAAACAACAACUUUCUUCUAGAGCUGUGCAUAAACCUCCUUGGGAGAUAAAUAGCAGAUCUAAGCCUCGGCGGUUUUGAAGAACUACUUCAGCUAGAGACUCUACCUGGGCAUGUAGUAUAUUUAUGGCUGAUUGGAGAUUGCUUAAAUCAGCAUCUACCUGUUGAGAUAGUGAUAUUAGUCCAGUUUCUCCUUGAAUCAGGGCAGUCGUGCCAAUAGCUGCUGACGUAGCUAUGCUAAGGCCAGCUAGAAGGGGUACAAGGAGUAGGGCAGCUCGGUGAAACCUGAAAUGCAAUUCAGGGGGAGCAAUGAGAAGUUGUCCUUCUGGCCCACUGUACAUGUAGAUCUGGGGGAGUACAUGAAUCAACAUGCAUAGGAGAGGUCCAGGUUCAGUCCCAUUGAUGCAGCGAGUGAGGCCUGAAAUGCAGGCCAACCAGGUAUUUUUGGGUGCCUGGUAGGAGACUGAGGGGUUUAAGGAAGUAAGGAGAGACUCACUACAAGUAGCCUGAAAGGGAGAAGCAGGUAAGUUAUACCUUGCGCUAAUUAGACAGAAGGCAUUCCCUGACACAUCUCCUAGUGUAAGGGCAUGGGGGCACGUAUGACAAGAAAGAGAGUCCAUUUUGAGCAUGGCUUCUACUCCUAAUCCAACAUAAUAUGGGGGUUUGGCCUUUCGGCACAACCAGCAAUCUCAGGCUAGUUUAGGCUUGGUGAGAUUAAGGAGGUGAUGUAUCCCGUCCAAAAUGGACAUCGGGCUGGGUUGGAGGUAUUGUCAUUGCAGCUGGGGUCUCAGAACCAGGAAUGGCAGUGGGACAGUUAAAUCGACUCUCUCUGGGUGUUUUUGGAACAUAGGGUCACCUAAAUCAGUUAAAGUUCUGAUUGGCUUCAUGGGACCAGGAAUUUUUUCUGGAUGGUGAACAUAGUUCCAACAUCAAAUCCUGAAAUAUAAAGCCUUAAUCCCUAUGACAUGCUGUAAUACCAUUGAGUUAAACUAGGGUUACGGAGAGUUAUAGUAAGAGGAUUACAAUUUCCUAUAGUACACGGCUUAGGAUGGGAAGCACAAGCUAUGGAAAGGGUUGAGGAUCAGGUUCAUCCUCCAGAGUAAGUGGCCAAGGUUACACACAUGCAGUAAGGGCAGAAAAACUGGUAAGAAUCUCGACAACUAGAGUCAGGGCGAUUUCCAGGACAAAGGUAAAAGUCAACGCUCUGGAGCCUUUUUUCUGCACCCUUAGAACUUCCACAUCCAGUUUGGCUUCUGGUGUGUCCGAACCCUGCAGCAAGGUCAGCGUUCCCUGCUCUCAUGAUCGGCAGAUUGCAUUGCUCUUCAAGGGUAUGGGCAGGGUCGGGGAACAAAGCACAUAAACCGACUACAAAAGAGACUUCCUUGGAGGGUCCCACCUUCCAAGUGGUGUUUGCAAACACACAUCCUGUCAUGAAGGAAGUGAGGAGAAAAGAGUAGGAAGGGGCAGAGGACAUAACAGGUGGAAACAGACAGAAGAGGUAAAUAAAAAGAAUUAAUUCGAUAGCUUUACUCAACUUAGGCGCAGUUUUAAGGGGCCUGGCCUAGGCUUGGGGACCCAUUUUUUUUGCUGGGCUUUGUUGGCCUUUUUGAUGCGAGAAUGAUGAAUCCAAGCAGGAGUGCCGUCCACCUUCAGAGCUGUUGGUGUGGUGAGGAUGACAGUAUGAGGUCCUUUCCAGGCAGGAGUCAGUCCUUUUUUCUGGAACUUUUUAACAUACACUAGGUCACCCAGCUGGAAAGAGUGGCAGGGCCCAGUCUGGUCAGGAACUGGGCUGGGGUGUGCUCCCCUGACAAGCAGCUGGAUGAUGUCUUGUACCCGUUGGAGAGACUGCAGGUACUGUAACAAGUUAGCUUGUGAGAUUUCUGCUAAAUGGGUAUCCUUUAGCUUAGGCAAGAUAGGCGGAGCCCUUCCAUACAUGAUUUCAAAAGGUGAAAACCCAGCCUGGUAAGGGGUGCAUCUUACUCUAAGAAGGGCUAAAGGAAGGAGCUUUACCUAGUUUUCACUGGUUUCUAGGAUUAAUUUUGCAAGAGUACUUUUUAGGAUGGGGUUCAUGCAUUCUACUUGUCCAGAGCUCUGGGGUCGAUAGGCACAAUGGAGUUUCCAUUGAAUGUUUAAUGCCUUGCUGACCGACUGAGCUAUGGACGAGGUGAAGGCUGGUCCAUUAUCAGACCUUAUUACAACAGGCAGUCCAUGUUGAGGGAUGAUUUCAUUGAGUAAAAGCUUAACUACCGUGGUAGCAGUUUCGUUUUUGGUGGCAAAUGCCUCAGUCCAUCCAGAAAAGGUGUCUACUAGCACCAGGAGGUAUUUAUACCCUGCCAAGUGUGGUUUUACCUCUGUAAAGUCAAUUUCCCACCUUCCUCCUGGCAAGCCUCCCUGGAGGCGGUGGCCUGGGCUGGGCUUAGGACCUUGCUUGGUGUUUACUUGGGCACAAGCCGUUUACUGGAGAGCUGCUUGGUUAGUUAAGUCCUGAAGGUGGGGGAUCUUGAAAUGGCUCCUUAGAAGCUGGGCCAGUUUUACUCCUCCUAAAUGGGUGGUAGAAUGUAGAUGAUUGAUAAAAGUUUCCCCAAGGGCUUGGGGCAUGAAGAUUCUGGAAUCAGGAAGAAUUCACCAACCUUCCUGAUUUUUACUGGCUUGAAGAUCCGAAGCUUGUUUUUCUUCCUCUGGGGAGUAUUCUGGGUAGUCUGCCCAGUCAGUUGUGGAAAGGACACAGAGGGCAGCAGGGUUAAAGGCACGACCAGGAGCUGAGCUGCCUCUCAAGCUGCAGAGUCUGCUCUUUGGUUACCACGAGCAAUGGCCAUGUCUUCUCUUUGAUGUCCUUUGCAGUGAAUUGCAGCCACCUGUUGAGGGAGCCAAACAGCUUCAAGCAGGGCUAAAAUUUCUUCUUUGUUGUUGACACUCUUUCCUGCUGAGGUGAGUAGCCCUCGCUCUUGAUAGAUGGCUCUGUGUACAUGUACAGUAGCAAAAGCAUACCUGCUGUCAGUGUAGAUGUUAAUACAUUUGUCUUUACCCUAUUGGAGGGCCUGAGUCAGGGUUACCAACUCAGUCCUCUGUGCCAAGGUACCUGCCGGCAGUGCCUGGGCCUACAGUACAUCUGUCUCCAUAGUAAUGGCCACACCAGCCUUCUGUACUCCCUGUUCAAGGAAGCUGCUACCAUCUGUAAACACGGUGGCAUCCACCUCCUUUAGAGGCACAUCUUGGAGAUGAGGUCAGCCAGUUUCCAUAGUUUCUAACAGUUCUUGGCAGUCAUGGACAGGUGUGGUAAGGUCUGGAUCAGGGAACAAGGUAGCUGGAUUUAAACACCUUGUGGGAGAGAAAGUUAAACGCGGCUGAUCUAACAGUAAACUCUGAUACCGCAAGAUGCGAGCAUUCGACAUCCAUUUGCCAGAAGCACUUUGUAGCAAGGUCUCUACAGCAUGAGGAGCCGUAAGGGUUAAAUUCUGGCCCAGAGUCAGUUUAUCAGCCUCCUGGACCUGGCUUGCUGUUGCCACUAUGGCUCACAGACAACUUGGCCACCCAGAGGCCACAGGGUCCAGUCUCUUAGACAAAUAGGCCACUGGGUGUUGCCAUGGCCCUAAAGUCUGAGUAAGUACCCCUUUAGCGACUCCUUGGUUUUCAUGAACAAAAAGGUGAAAUGGUUUUGAGAUAUUUGGGAGGGCAAGAGCAGGGGCCUCAGUUAGUGCCUUCUUCAGAUUUUGAAAAGCCUGUUCUUCUUUGUCAGUCCAAACCAGCGGGGUAUUCCCUCCAGUAGUGGUGUACAGGGGUUUGGCAAUUUCCAUGAACCCCAAUAUCUAUAGGCGACCAUAUCCCACGGUGCCCAGGAAUUCAUGUACCUGUCUCUUAGUGGUGGGAGUGGGGAUUUGAAGGAUGGCUGCCUUUCGAGCACUGGUGAGUGCCCUUUUUCCUUCAUUUGUCUCAUACCCUAGGUAGGAAAUGCUGGGAAGAAAAAGCUGGGCCUUCUUGGCUGGGACCUGAUACCCGAAUUCCUGAAGGAGUCCUGUACAGGCUGGUAAUCAUUUGUUCCGGGUUUCUGGACCGGCAAAAAUGGAAUAUUCCAGGCGAUCUCACAUGGUGAAAGGCAGGACUGGGAUGGCCAGCCCAACCGACUAAUGAGGAAUUUGACCUCCUGGGAUAGAAAAUCUGUACUAAGGACCUUGAAGAAGUCCUUGCCCAGUCAUUUUGGGCAGUAUCGACGAUCCGACAUAUGAAAUUUAGACAGACACUAAACAGGACAAUAGGCACUGGGGUAUAUAAACAAGCAUGGCAAUUUUUAUAGACAGACAAGGGGAGGGGGUCCCGUGAUGGGAUCAGUCAGAUGCCCUCCUGGCUGCUCCCCUUUCGGGGACUUAGGCUCCUCUUGGCAUUGGCAGGCUGGUAUAAACCCCUGGCUUGGAUCGAGCUAUGCCUGAUGCCGCCCUAAGCCUUAUGAGGUCACCACGGAACCACAGGUGAGGGCCUUCUCGAAUUCCCUAGCUUUCACCCUGGAGCUACAAACUGGAAAUUCAAGCGCAAGCCCUUGAACUCCACAUUCACUCACUCACUCACUCACUCAGAGUUUAUUACAAUUUUUAUACCCAUUCUAAAACAGAGAUCUCCCGGAGACCUGAAUGAGAGAGGGAGAAGAGAUAGAGAGAGAGAGAGACUAGACUUAACAGAGAAUCCUGACAGAAACCAGGACUCUGUCCUCCAGUGUCCUGGAGCAUGGACAGAGUCUGAGGGAGGACCUUCGUCAGGGCCGUUUCCCUCCCAGAGAGACAGAGUCAGAUCUGACUUACCU
rnacentral:lncRNA from 1 species